CACCGCUCCCGGAAGCUCGGUGAACACGUAGUACAUCACGCUCUGGCCCGCCAUGAAGUGCUGCUCCGCCGUCUCCAGGAAGCGCUCCAGGAAGGCGCUGCUGUUCUUAUUUUGCAGCUUGAGAGAGGCUGUGCAACUCACCCACAGCAGCCGCGAUCUGGGCCUCCUCCUAUGUUCCCCUGUUCAGACCCCUGCUCCAUGAACUGGGCGGACCCAUGUCCACUAAAGUGCUGAGGAAGUGACAGCGUGUGAUUUCUGAGGCUAGAUCAUAAAGGGCACAGCAGUUCUCACCUCACUCUUCUGCCUGGGUUACUGCAGAGUAAGCCAGCUACCAGUAAGCCACCCCAGCAACCCUUUGGAGAGGCAUGCGUGGAGAGCAGCCAAGGCCCUGGUGGUCCCCGGCCUCCUUGCCGUGUGAGUGAACCGUGCUGGAAGUGGGUUUUCUGGCUCCAGACCUCAGACACUGCAGCCUGUAUGGCGUCUUCCCUGAGACCUCAUAUGACCUCAAACUCAUACACUGGGUCUGUGGAAGGGAGCAGAUAACCUCUCUGUUUCUAGUUCUUAGACUAAGAGGAACUGGACACCAGGAGCCUCAUACCAGGACUGCCCAGCCGAGCCACUCGAUUCCUGACCCACAUGGCCCUUGAGAUGACAAGUGAUUGCUGCUUAAAGUCACUGAGUUCUGGAAUAAUUUACAUCAUGGCAAUAGGAGCAGUUCACCCAUCUCAGUUAAUCAAGCUCCGCGUCUUCUGCAGACUAAUCAAACCACUCAUGGAACCAAAGAAUGAGGAAAAGGCAGAUGGUAUCCCAGAAAGGUGUCUUCUCCAACAGCCAGAUACUUUUCAUCAGAACAGAGGCUGGUGUGCCGCUGGCUCUGGGCUCCUCCACACCCACAGGGCAGCACCACUGUCUCCAGUGCACACUGCACAGAAGCAGCUCUGGGUGCUUUGGUCAAUAACCCAUCUUCGUGGCUCGUGGAUAUUUCUUGUUAGUCUUAGGCUUCCAUCGUGACCUUUCUGAGUGCCCCUCAAUCUCAUUAACUCCCCUUUCAAGGCUCUGUCCCCAGAAAACAAGCUUCAGGUUGUGACCCUGUUUCCUCACAUUCAUUUCUGAUAC
rnacentral:lncRNA from 1 species